rfam:Picea glauca, whole genome shotgun sequence.
AUGUACAUUCCUACAACAUAGCGUUAAUGCACUAGAUCUCAUUAGAACUCCACAGUUAAGCACACUUAGGCUAGAGUUGUACUAGGAUGGGUGACCACCCAGGAAGUCCUAGUGUUUUACAUG